GCUGGCGACCGGCGCACGGGUGAGUAACACGUAUCCAACCUGCCUCAUACUCGGGGAUAGCCUUUCGAAAGAAAGAUUAAUAUCCGAUAGCAUAUAUUUCCCGCAUGGGUUUUAUAUUAAAGAAAUUCGGUAUGAGAUGGGGAUGCGUUCCAUUAGUUUGUUGGGGGGGUAACGGCCCACCAAGACUACGAUGGAUAGGGGUUCUGAGAGGAAGGUCCCCCACAUUGGAACUGAGACACGGUCCAAACUCC
rnacentral:rRNA from 1 species